GGAGGUUGGCAAAUAAUACCAGGUGGGUCAGGAGUGUUAUCGGUGUGAUUGAGGAGGCUCUGCAGGGGACAUGACUGGGCUGAUCAAUGACUGGGCUGCACCUGUGUCAUAACAACCCCAUGCAGCAGUAUGGACCUGGGGAAGACUGGCUGGAAAGUGCCCGGCAGACAAAGACCUGGAUGUGCUGGCAGCCAGCUGAACAUGUGUCAGCAGAGUCCAGGUGGCCAAAAAAGCCAAUGGUAUCCUGGCCUGCAUCAGAAAUACUGUGACCAGUAGGACCAAGGAAGUGAUUGCCCUUUUUUAUACAGCAGUGGUGGGACAACACCUCAAGUACGUGUUCGGUUUGGGGCUCCUUGCUGCAAGAAGGGCAUUAAGUUGCUUGAAUAUAUGCAGAGAAGAAAAAAAAAUAUUGAAGGGAAAAGACAAGAGUUAUGAGGAGUGGCUGAGGGAACUGGGGCUGCUUAGUCUGUAGAAGAGGAGGCUGAGAGGAGACCUCAUUGUUCUUUACAGGUACCUGAAAGGGAGCUGCAGCGAGGUGGGGAUCAGUCUCUUUUCUCAGGUGACAAGCCAUAGUUCAUGAAGAAACAGCCUCACGUUGUACCAGUGAAGGUUUAGAAUUUACAUCUGGAGGAAUUUCUUCAUGGAAAGUGGUGCUGCAGAGGCACGGGCUGCUCAGGGAAGUGGUGGAGUCACCAUCCCUGGAGGUGUUCAAGAACCGUGAGGAUGUGGCACUGAGAGACAUGGUCAGUGGGCAGUAUUGGAGGUAAUUGGACAGUUGGACUAGAUGAUCUUAGUGGUCUUUUCUAAUCUUAAUGAUUCUGUGGUUCUAUGAUUCUAUGAAAAGGGACACCUGUAACCACUGCUGUUUACCUGCCUCAUAAGUAACUAUCAACCAGAAAUAAUAAGCAGGUUUUUUUUCUGCAAAUGGCUCUCGAAUGUCUUUUCAAGGUACUUAACAUUGAGCAGAUAAGCGUGACAGGAACAGAAUGUGAUUUAUAUCUGAGUGAAGUGGAAAGAUUCCACAGGAUUGCAGUGUUUUUGAGUAAGUCCUCAAGUAAACAUCCUUCUUAACACCGUCAUUACCGGUCAGUGGUUAUGAGAUCUCCUUGUCCUCUCAGCACCAGAUGUAAGGACCCUCAGUCUCUGUUCCUUCUCUUAAUGAAUCUGAACAGAGUGGCUACUGGGCUCGGUCUGAUUCUCCAUCGUAAUUGCUCCGUUAUCACCCAUAAGGAACCCAUUAAUGUGGACGAGGUUUUGAAACCAAAGUCUCCCUUUUCAGAGCCCUGAUCUAGGAAUGCUUUAAGGGUAUAUGCCAGCUCAAGAGUCAGAUUCAUUUUGGUUCUGGGAAUCAAACCACAGCCUCUGAAAAACAAUGGAAUUUGUGGCUUGUUCCAGCAAGUUAAGCAACAACGUUAGCUUUUUGCUAAAAGAGGGCUAAUAAGGUUUGAUGUAACAUCAGAGGAGCUAAUUCAGAUCUAAUAACAAUAGUUGUUUUUUGAACAAUUUAGCCUUUACACAAACAAUUUCUCACUCCAUAAUUUUUCUUCCUAGGGCCUUCUUUUGGAAUAUUGUGCAGGCAGAUGUCCUACUUAACAGGAGACCCCUCGUAUUCUGCCAGUUUCCAGAUAUGUUGAAGUAUUUCUGAUUCUGAUUGAGAACAUUUCAACCAUCAGGCAGAGAAGCCUGUCCAUCUGUGUGGGAUGCCAGAUGUCAGCUGCAGUACAGUCUGCAGAGAGAGAAGCUAUCUGAAGGCUACGUGGACAGUAGUAUGGUGAGGCUCCUCCUCUUCUAGUUCUACCAUUUUGCUGGCCAAAAAAAAUCUUUCGUUUUCCCUACAGAACUGCCAGACUAGUUGGUGUCUUCCCACCAGAAGAUACAUAGGGGCCUUUACAAGUAAGCACCAUCUCCCAUUGUCCCAAAUUCCUUACUGAAACCCAGAGGCAGAUGAAAUCUUCCUGGCUCUGACCUAUCACACUGUGAGUGGGUACCUCUUCUCGACGUCCUGUGACUGCAGUUAUAGGAUAACUUAAUUCCUAUGAAGCUGCUAAGCUGUAGCUGUAGACAAACUGGAGAAUAAGUGCUUCCUGCAUCCUCUGUGUAAUUUGCUGCCAUUUAAUACCAUUGACUGUAUAUUCUUUAUGAGAUAAUAUGGAAUUCUCUAUUUUUCUCUUUAUUUCCAUUGAGGUCAGAGACAGGCGGUGCCUUUUUUUUCCAACAGCUCUGAGUCAAACUCUAGUAGUCCUUUUCCUUCACCCAUUUUCCUAUACAAGGACUCUAUCUUACCUGUUCUCUCAGCUUCUAAACAAUGGAUCUGUUCUAAGUCAGCAUGUUCUAAGAGCAAGUGACAAAAAUGCAAGAGAACUGCUGAUUCUGUCAUAAAGUUACAUCACUUAUUAUAAGAGAUAAUGACCCAUCUCCAUCCCCCUUUGAGGAAAAUCAAAAGAUCACUAAUUCUCAUUUUGCCGGACCAUUUAACUGUACAGUGAUUUAUGGCAUACUUCCAGUUCAAUAACCUAACCGUGGUAUAGCUAGAAUUUUGGUUUCUGAGACUUCUGUUCUUCCAGAACCCAAAGACAUGCUUAGAAACAUUGUGUCUAUUCUUUCUAGAAAGCAGGGAGAGACGUAUCUUUCACCAGCCCUGAGCUGAAUGAUGCACAACACUUUCUGCUCACCAAAUUUAACAGGAUGGUUUGAGAAUCAUUUCUUUUUCAUCUUCUCCCCGUACUCAGGAAGACUCAGUACUCUGCAGGGCUGCAUUUUUAUUCCACAAAUUGUUCUCCAUGUUGAAUUUUAUCUGACGCUGCAGUGAACAAUUUCCAAUUCUGCCUUUGUUUCCUUUCCUCUCACUCCUCUUUUGGCCUAACUUUGUUAAAUAUUUUUGCAACCAGAAGGUAUUUUUGGAGUGCAUAUACUGCCAUGACUCUCUGUUUUCAAUGGCAGCACUCAGUUCUGGCUGCCAUGAGCAAGCACAAGAUGCCAUGUAAAACUGCAAGUUGAUUUUUAAAAAAUCUGAUUAUAUAAUGUUAUACCAUUCCUUUUGGUUGAAAUUCCAGGAAAGUAGCAAAGGGGAUUUUGUAUUGCCUACCCUAAACGGUAAGCAUGUUUAAAAUUCAGUUCAGGAAUAAAAAGCUACACUAAUACAAUAAUAAUGUUCACAUUUUAAAGCUCUUUGGCAAGGAGAGAUACUGAAAAAAUGUCAGCUUCACCUUUUGACAGCACUGGCAGUAACCCUCUAAACUCUGCUUUAAUACUAUAAUUGCCCCAAAUAUUUGGUUUAAACACUUUUAACCUAAGCAACUAUGCCAGCUCUAGAUAAUAUCUUGGUUCAGAGUUGAUUUUGGUAGAGAGUCAGGUCAGAGAGCACCCAUGACUGACUACCUGCAUAGGUUCAAAUUCCCCAGGCGUCACAUGGAGACCACAAAAUGGAGGAAAGUAAGGCUAAUUUGUUGACUGUCAUGAAGAAAGAUGAGUUCUGGAGCAGAAUCAUAGAAACCACAUCCUAAUACUAACAUACUCAGAGAGCUGUUUGCCAAUACAAUUUGUGUGAAUUGAGUAUUAUGUAACACAGAAUGACAGAGGACAAAGGGAGAAAUAAGAAAUGGCGCCAUCUCUGUGCCCCCAAAACCAACAAGAACCCAUGCCAAUGGAAAGCUUCCACACUCCUGAGAAAAUGAAUGCUUUCUGAACCCUGGCUCCCAUUUCCUCAGUUGCUUCAAAGACUGUUACAGCUACUUGGGGACUUCUCAGAUCUUGCCACACUGUGAUCAUCUCUACACACAAUAGCUUUUGCACUUGAAUUAAAUUUUAUUACAGAUUAGUCAAAGCAACAUCCUUUUGCAAUCUGUGGGAUUGGUAUGCCUCAGGUUUAAACACUUGACUUUGAAUGCUCCAUUUCCAUUUUUUCAAUAGGAAAACUAAUCAGGCUUAAGGAACAAGAGCAGAGCAAGCAGAAAGUCUUAGAGCUUGACAUCUCCUUCAGAUUCCUCACAGAUAAAUAGUUAUUUUCCAGAUCCAUUCCAGAGGUUCUUCUACAGACUCAGGAAUCUAUCCAGAAAAAAAUCCCCAGGCCCUAUGAACAAUGUAUGUACUUGUAAAGCAGUUGAUGUACUAACCAUUAAAGCCAGUAAAAGACUUGAAAUCUGAUUUUGGCUGAUAAAAAGCAAGAUUGCUUUUCCCUGACAUGAAGGCUCUUCUCUCUUACUGAAUUUUAAUCUUCAAAGAUUGCCUAUCUCUCUGUAGAAAAGAGUGAUAUUUCAUCAAAAGGAGUAUUUGAACAUUACACUUCCACCCUAAGAUAGAGAACUAUGGUAAAAACCCUUUCUAAGCAAUGAAGACUACAAGGUUUUACAUGUAAGCAUAAUGCAAGUCCAGAUCUGUAUAAUAUUCUACUUACAACAUAUACUAUGAAGAACCAUCCUGGGUAAAAGAACAACAAAUGUUUGAAACAAUAACAAGCUUUCUCAGGUAGCCUAUUUAAAUUAAGCCUAGCACGUAUUACUAGAAAAAACACAGCCAGCCUGGAAAUGUUGGGAUGACAAAUCCUGGCAGUGUAAAACCUUAUUUCAGGUCAUUUGAUUGGAGUAUUGACAAGGUUUUUGAAAUAUCUAUACUUUGGAAGUUUAGGGGGAAAUCAGUUUGGUUUGAACAAAAAUGAUACCUCUGAAUUGUAUUACUAGAGAAUUGCUUUAUGCGGUCACCCACAGACAGAUAGAAAAUAAAUAUUUCCAGAUUCCAGAUUCUAUCUAACAUGAACAAAUAUCUAAAAGAGUUUCUAUGCACAAAGACAAAAGCUAAGGCACGUUAUAUCUCAUUAUCAUUAUUAUUUCCUUUUUUUCCUGGUUAGAAUUUCCUUUUGCCCUCUACAAAACCUUCGAAGUUGUCUCUAUAGGCAUUGAUGUGGUUUCUGCCUUUACCUAAUUAAACAACACAAACCAGAACCCUUGUUGCAGAUAUGUUCUUCUCAUACCUACCCAACCCACUGUGCAUUUGAGUGACCUUGGCCACUUCAUCAAUCCAUGCUGCCACCACCCUCAUCCUUACCAUUGCCGCAACAAACUUGAAAGUCAUCUAAUUUGUGUAGACUAUUUGAUGUAGUAUAAGAGGAAGGAAAGAGGUCUCUUCACAUGGAGAUCUGUCAGCUGCUAAUAUCUCUACAAAAGUAGGCCGACAGAGAUACUAUUCCCCUGACUAGAACUCUUGAUGGAAAUUGAGACAUUCAUCAGAGAACCCUUGUUAAAUGUAGCUUCCACUUAGCAGAGAAUUUUUUGAGUGUGUCUUGGGAGAGGACAUGUUGUGAAGUAAGAAGGUCCCACUGUGUUAAAGAUGUCUAGCAACGAUAAAGUACUCAUACCCUGUUGAAGCAUUUUCUAUAUUUGUUUAAAAAAAAAACAACACAUGCAAUACUGUCGAUGGUUGUCUUUAGAAGUAUAUCUAUGCUCAGUAUUUGAGACUGAGAACGCUGAACUUGUGUAAUUCCAUGUAAAAUGAUAGAUGAUACUCAGAGGCCUUGAUUACUGCUACACCCCACAGAAAACAUGAAAAAAUGCCAUUCAGCUGUUUAAUAAGGCAAUGAAAUAACUGAAAACAGACUUACUAUGCAUAAGCAAAAGUAGAUUUUAAGUAAAUACAGCAGCUGUCUUCCAUCUGUUUUUUGGGGGUGUUUUUUGUUCAUUUGUUUUACAACCAACCUGGUAUGUCACUGCUUCUGGGUACAGGUAACUGUAAUUUUGAAAUGUUGAAAGCUUGUCUUUUCUGUAUUGCUGACACAUGACUAUAAAGUCUAUCUUAUGUUCCAGUGCUCUGUUAGAAACUGGUAGAUAAACUAUUGAGUAAAAUGUACGUACUAUGCAAUGAGGUAGGAGAAAGUUCCCAAGGCAAGUGGCUUAAAAACUAAAGCUGAAUUGCAACUCGUGCCAUUGCUAACUACAACAAGUGGCUCCUUUGAUUCAGGUAAAUUACUUUGAUUAUUGAAGUUGCUGUGAAACUAAAUGUUGCAGUUACCAAAUAUUCCAAACUUAGAUUGUGAUAGAUGGGAAGAGAUGGGAAGGAAACUUACAUCUGAUUUUUUAUUUUUUCCAUAAAGGGAUAAUAAAAAAUCAGUUAAGUGUCUCCCCAUUGACCAUUAAAACCAGCUAGAGCUACCUAUAAAACUAUUGUACUUGUUGGCAGUAGUAAUAAUUUCACCCUGAACAUGGAAAAUAGACUUCGAUCAUGUGGUCUCCUACUGCCAUCUACUGUGUACAAGGAACCAUACACAAGCCGAUGGCGAAAGUUGCCUGUUUUCCCUUUUAAUGCAACAUGCCCUUUCUGCAUCACAGUACUUGAUGGAAAACUAAGUGAUUUUUUUUUAUUUUUUUUAACAAAAUAUAGAAAUUGCAUUCAUCUAUGUACAUUGCAGCAACACACAGGACUUCAAUGAUUGCCAGGCUUCAUCAAGCCAUUGCUGUCUGAGUACACAUUUAUGUACUACAUGGGCAUGUACACGCACACACACACAUACACAAAGAAAGAGAGAGUGAAAGGCAGGCCCAGCUGUGUUAGUCUUAGUCACAGCUGUAAGAAACUUUAUAAAUGAAAACCCAUUACUGAUGGCUUACUGCAUGUCCAAGAAGCUGCUGAGUGUUUUUCCAUCCCAGCAUGACUGUAGAAUCACAGAAUCAUCUGGGUUUGAAAAGACCUUCAGAAUCAGCAAGUUGAACCAUAAACAUGGCUUACCAAGUCCUACCAGUAAACCAUAUCCCUUAGUGCCAGAUCCACUCAACUCUUAGGUACCUCCAGGGAUGGGGAUUCUACCACUCCCCUGGGCAGCCUAUGCCAAUGCUUGACCACCCACUCCAUGUAGAAAUUCUCCCUAAUAUCCAAUCCUUCUCUGAUCCAAUUUGACGGAUCCUCAUGUCCUAUCAUUUGUCAGCAUGAUGUGUCUGCAAAGCAAAAGUUGGUCAAUUCUGAUAAUACAAAAUGAUAGCGAGCACAGUAAUUGUUUCUGCAAGCCAGGUGAGAAAGCACUACUCAGGGAAAGUCCCCGCCUUCCUUUUCCAAUGCUAAGAUCUGGAUUCCACCUUUCUUCUGUGGGGCUAAGCUUCUUGGCUAAAUUGCACUCAACUCAUCAUUGAGUGGUGGCAUGAAUUCGACUACUCCUUCCUCCUGCUGUAUUUGCCCUUCAUACAAACUUAUUGCACCUAGGUGUAUAACACCUGCUGUAUAAUGUAGAGCAUUCAAGAGAUCAAAGACUUAAUCUUUCUGAUUGUUCUGUACAAAGAACAAAGCUGUGUUCCUUCCACUGACUCUGGCUCUAUGGCUCAAGUUUCACUAUCUGAGCUCUGAGUAUGAGAUUAUCACUCUGUUCACUCUCUGCUUUUCUCUAUUUUCUGGGAGAGCUCAGGUAAUCCAUUCUGCAAUCAGAACUUGCACAUACUACCAUAAGUUCUCUUCAUCAGGUAGGAGAGAUUCUUCAGCAGCAGGCGACGGACACGGAACAGUCUCCCCAGGGCAGUGGUCAUGGUCCUGAGCUGCUGGAGUUCAAGGAGUGUUUUGGCAAUACUUUCAGACAUACAGCUUACAGUUCAGGUGGUCCUCUGUGGAGCAGAAUGUUGGACUCAAUGAUCUGUGUGGGUCCUUUCCAACUUGGAAUAUUCUUUUUCUUCUUCCUCCAUAUGCCUUCUCACAUUCAAAAUCUCUCUUUUUGCCUGUGGCAGGACUCUGGAGUUUGCCUCACAGAUUCCUGUUGGCCAGAUCCCAGCACAGUGAUUCAAUCUUCCACAUGAAUAUUUUGCUCUUCCCUGCUAAGAUCUUGGGUGCUGGAUCAUUUCUUACAGUUUUCAACUGAGAGCCACUCUGAAGUCCAUAUUGAAGGUUGCUUAUCUUUAGUCCUUUUGCUCCUGCCUUCCUCAAAAGAGUGCAAUAUACUGUGAUCUCUGGCUCAGCGCACAUGGGAGAUGAGCAGAGAGUAAAGGUGUCCUAUGAUGAAGUGUUAUUUAAGUAGUUUGAGUAUUAGGUUUCAUUUCCUCAUAAUUUCUGACUGUGAUAGAGAGUGGUAGCAUUUCAUCAUUAAAGCCAGCUGCAUAGCCUAGAAAAAUGAGGCUGUGUACUUUUGGAAGGGGUGGAGACAGAAUUUAGCAUAACCACUAAAAAGAGCAAUUGUCAUAUGAUUUACUAUAGUUUAUACAAAAGUUUCUCGUUCACUCAUAAUGAAAUGACAGAUAGAAAACUUCAUGCAAAUCAUCAUCAUGUGAAGAUUAGAAAAAUAUGUCUAGCAUAGUUCCUAAGAAAAAAAGAUCUCUAUUUCUUGUUGCUAGGAAAUGUGAAAGCAAUAGAAAAGGGGGCAACAGAAAUAAAGUGACAGAAGUAUGCUAUGACAUUAUCUGUAUGAACCCCUAGAGAUCAUUUGUAACAAAUUAAACAGCAUUACUCAAUGAGAGUCAUGAUAUAACUUGGUAGAAGAAAAUUCUUUGAAUUUCUUUAACAUGUGAACUCACACUGCAACUGAAAAAAUGCAUGGGAUCUGGGAUAAAAAGAUGCCUGGAUUCAGGGAAUAAUCCAAGUAUUUUCAGUAGUCAUUCACUGCACAGAUGAAAAGAUAAUUAUCCAUUGUCUGCACCUGCAUAAAGAGCAAAUUCUUGUUGAAGUAUUCUUUUGGGCAUGGCUGUAACUCAUAUAAGGUAGAUUGAUAAAGCUCAGAAAAACUGGAAGAAUUUUAUUAAACUACAUUCGUGCAUUAACUGAACAAAUGUGAUUUUAGCAAAAAAAAUUGUAUUCACCUGCUUAUUCUGAAAUGGAUGUGGUUUGUUUUUUGUUUUUUGUUUUUUUUUUU